UAAGGAAUAUUGGACAAUGGCCGCAAGGCUGAUCCAGCCAUGCCGCGUGCAGGAAGAAGGCGCUAUGCGUCGUAAACUGCUUUUACACCGGAGAAAACCCCCUUAUGUAUAAGGGGCUGAUAGUAUGGUGAGAAUAAGCAUCGGCUAACUUCGUGCCAGCAGCCGCGGUAAGACGAAGGAUGCAAGCGUUAUCCGGAUUCAUUGGGUUUAAAGGGAGCGUAGGUGGUCUUAUAAGUCAGUGGUGAAAUCUUCUCGCUUAACGGGAAAACUGCCAUUGAUACUGUAGGACUUGAGUAUAGUUGCUGUGGGCGGAAUAUGACAUGUAGUGGUGAAAUACUUAGAGAUGUCAUAGAACACCGAUUGCGAAGGCAGCUCACAAAACUAUAACUGACACUGAGGCUCGAAAGUGCGGGGAUCAAACAG
rnacentral:rRNA from 1 species